UUAGGUCAGGGCUAUAUCAGGGUUAGGUUAGAGCUAUGUUAGGUCAGGGUUAUAUCAGGGUUAGGUCAGAGUUAUGUUAGGUCAGGGUUAUAUCAGGGUUAGGUCAGGGUUAUAUCAGGGUUAGGUCAGAUUUAUAUCAGGGUUAGUUCAGAGUUAUGUUAGGUCAGAGUUAUAUC